ACCGCACAGAAUCAAAGCCUCCACGGGGCGUGCGGUGGGCAACGUAUGCGCAUAGGCGCAUGCGGCUGAUUUUGAUU
rnacentral:ribozyme from 1 species